UCAUCGUAUGUGUAAUGAACUGAACUAAUAAAAACCUGAGCUGUUCGAAUUUAUUUAUUCAGAUAAGAAACGGAUACUUUCCGAUUAAGUUCAUUCAUCAUGCGUGUGAUUAUACUUGUUCUACUUGUAGGAAAUAUUCUUGCCGAGGUUACUCAAGGCACGGGAUGUGUAUCUCGAUCGUUUCGAUGCAACAUAAUUACUUGUCGAAAUAACUGUAUUGCCGCUGGAGCUACUGGUGGAAUUUGUCAAACUGAACGGAAUGGAGAUGUGAGAUGUAUGUGCUCAUACAAUCCGAUAGAUCCAAUUUGUGACGUAGACACCUGUCGAAAUAACUGUAUUGCCGGUGGAGCUACUGGUGGAAUUUGUCAAACUGAACGGAAUGGAGAUGUGAGAUGUAUGUGCUCAUAUAAUCCGAUAGAUCCAACUUGUGACGUAGAUACCUGUCGAAAUAACUGUAUUGCCGGUGGAGCUACUGGUGGAAUUUGUCAAACUGAACGGAAUGGAGAGGUGAAAUGUAUGUGCUCAUACAAUCCGAUAUGAU